GCCGCCGUAGCUCAGAUAGGAUCUCUCCCUGAAUCGGUAGAGCAUCCGGCUGUUAACCGGAUGGUCGCCAGUUCAAGUCUGGCCGGCGGCGCCA
rnacentral:tRNA from 1 species